rnacentral:piRNA from 1 species
UCAUGGUGCACAAGCUAUCGACC